rnacentral:lncRNA from 1 species
AUGAUGCUGUAAACGCUGGCUUUUUGUCAUCGGAAGAGGAUGAUUACGUGCUCGAAUCGUCAUAUUUUUGUCGCUAGUAGCAAGCCUAAGAAUUGCAGAGUUCAUCAAGUUGAUAAAGGUUGGAGCAGCAUGCUGACAAGAACUAUUGUGCAAUACAGUAUACCCCAAACUCCCAUCAUCAUACUGCUCAUCCAUCACAACUGCCCCAUACCUAUCAAUACAAACAUAAAAGAUAAAAUAUAUAUAUAUUUAAAAAAGUAACAAACAUGCUUUAAGUAAGCGAUUCCAAUCCCAGUUGCCUUCCAUCAUAUUGGAAUACUCAAACAGAGGAAAGAAACUACAGAAAACUAAAAGUUUUAGGCACAUUAUUCAACUCCUGAUAGAGUAGGCUGAAACUAGAGAAAAAACCAUAAAGCAAAAGAGAAAAGGCAUGUGAACCCAAGUUGGAGAUAAUGCUGAUUCCAAAAUGGCUUGCCAAUCAAACUUAAAAUCAGAAAAAUAACACAAUCAGAAAACUAAUGGAAAAAGAACCCAACUCAAAAACCUUAAUUGAACUAUUUCGGCUUGGUUUCAUGAGUUCUUUUCUAUGUUCUGCAUACAAAGCAGCAGCAUCCUUAUGCCACAUGCAGCAAAGUCCCUUUUACCUAUUUUACUUAAUCUCUUAGAUCUACCAUUUCUGCAUAAUCUACUUGAAAUAAAGUAACUCCUCUAAACUCAUACCAAACAUGCACACACACAAAAAGGCAAAUGCAGUUUCACUUUGAGAUAUCGAAAAAUAUAAGCUCAAAAUAUGAAAAACAUUCCACACCAAUUAAAUCAAAAGGCUUGACAUGUCUAACAACAAAUAUAAAAGGCUGGACUCUGUGCUAGUGAGGCUUGAAAAAUACAUCUACAGCUGUGAAAAUAAACACAAUCUUAAAAGAGAACAAGCAAUAAUAAAUUCUCUUAUUAAAGAGACAAAACUGAAAAAAGUACAAAUAAACAAGUGUUGAAAAUAUGAUAAACAAAAGCUUUUAGAGGGCAUAACCAUGCAGUGAUGGACUUUGCAUGCUACAAAUAAUUUAAUGUUUCUCACAAAAAUACAACAUGAUUACUAUCAAAUAAGACAUCUUCUGCAUCAAGACCAGAUAAACAGAAUAUAAGAAAAUAAUUUUGUGAUUAAGGAAGAUCUACCUUGACUGGUAUGAUUCGUUAAAGCUAGACAUUAGAAAUUCACUCAUUGAAAGCAAAACAGGUCCUAAAGUUGGUCCUGCUGCCUCUACAGCAUCGGCUAAAGCCCUUUCUGAAUCAGGAAAUUUG